GGGCUCACACAAGCGGUGGAGCAUGUGGAUUAAUUCGAAGCAACGCGCAGAACCUUACCUGGGUUUGACAUGGUUGGAUGCCUUACUGGAAACAGUGUAGGCUGCCCGCAAGGGUGAAACUUUCACAGGUGCUGCAUGGCUGUCGUCAGCUCGUGUCGUGAGAUGUCGGGUUAAGUCCCAUAACGAGCGAAACCCCUGCUGUUAGUUACUACCGCCGCAAGGCGGGUACUCUAACAGGACCGCCGGUGUUAAACCGGAGGAAGGUGGGGAUGACGUCAAGUCCUCAUGGCCUUUAUGCCCAGGGCGUCACACGUGCUACAAUGGUAACUACAGAGCGACGCAAGACUGUAAAGUGGAGCAAAUCGCUUAAAAGUUAUCUCAGUCCGGAUUGAGGGCUGCAAUUCGCCCUCAUGAAGUUGGAAUCGCUAGUAAUCGCGAAUCAGCCACGUCGCGGUGAAUGUGUUCCUGAGCCUU
rnacentral:rRNA from 1 species